GCCAGGCGUGGUGACGGGCGCCUGUAAUCCCAGCUACUCGGGAGGCUGAGGCAGGAGAAUCACUUGAACCCAGGAGGCAGAGGUUGCAGUGAGCCGAGAUCGCACCACUGCACUCCAGCCUGGGUGACAGAGCGAUACUCUGUCUUUA
rnacentral:SRP_RNA from 2 species